rnacentral:rRNA from 1 species
UUUGAUCCUGGCUCAGGACGAACGCUGGCGGCGUGCCUAAUACAUGCAAGUCGAACGCUUCUUUCCUCCCGAGUGCUUGCACUCAAUUGGAAAGAGGAGUGGCGGACGGGUGAGUAACACGUGGGUAACCUACCCAUCAGAGGGGGAUAACACUUGGAAACAGGUGCUAAUACCGCAUAACAGUUUAUGCCGCAUGGCAUAAGAGUGAAAGGCGCUUUCGGGUGUCGCUGAUGGAUGGACCCGCGGUGCAUUAGCU